AAGAUCGUUAAAGGUUUGGUGGAUUGC
rnacentral:piRNA from 1 species